AUACGUAGGUGGCAAGCGUUAUCCGGAUUUAUUGGGCGUAAAGCGAGCGCAGGCGGUUUUUUAAGUCUGAUGUGAAAGCCCUCGGCUUAACCGAGGAAGCGCAUCGGAAACUGGGAAACUUGAGUGCAGAAGAGGACAGUGGAACUCCAUGUGUAGCGGUGAAAUGCGUAGAUAUAUGGAAGAACACCAGUGGCGAAGGCGGCUGUCUGGUCUGUAACUGACGCUGAGGCUCGAAAGCAUGGGUAGCGAACAGGAUUAGAUACCCUGGUAGUCCAUGCCGUAAACGAUGAAUGCUAGGUGUUGGAGGGUUUCCGCUCUUCAGUGCCGCAGCUAACGCAUUAAGCAUUCCGCCUGGGGAGUACGACCGCAAGGUUGAAACUCAAAGGAAUUGACGGGGGCCCGCACAAGCGGUGGAGCGUGUGGUUUAAUUCGAAGCAACGCGAAGAACCUUACCAGGUCUUGACAUCUUUUGAUCACCUGAGAGAUCAGGUUUCCCCUUCGGGGGCAAAAUGACAGGUGGUGCAUGGUUGUCGUCAGCUCGUGUCGUGAGAUGUUGGGUUAAGUCCCGCAACGAGCGCAACCCUUAUGACUAGUUGCCAGCAUUUAGUUGGGCACUCUAGUAAGACUGCCGGUGACAAACCGGAGGAAGGUGGGGAUGACGUCAAAUCAUCAUGCCCCUUAUGACCUGGGCUACACACGUGCUACAAUGGAUGGUACAACGAGUUGCGAGACCGCGAGGUCAAGCUAAUCUCUCAAAGCCAUUCUCAGUUCGGACUGUAGGCUGCAACUCGCCUACACGAAGUCAGGAAUCGCUAGUAAUCGCGGAUCAGCACGCCGCGGUGAAUACGUUCCCGGGCCUUGUACACACCGCCCGUCACACCAUGAGAGUUUGUAACACCCGAAGCCGGUGGCGUAACCCUUUUAGGGAGCGAGCCGUCUAAGGUGGGACAAAUGAUUAGGGUG
rnacentral:rRNA from 1 species